rnacentral:rRNA from 1 species
GUGAACGCUGGCGGUAGGCCUAACCCCUGCAAGUCGAACGGCAGCACAGUAAGAGCUUGCUCUUACGGGUGGCGAGUGGCGGACGGGUGAGGAAUACAUCGGAAUCUACUUUUUCGUGGGGGAUAACGUAGGGAAACUUACGCUAAUACCGCAUACGACCUACGGGUGAAAGCAGGGGAUCUUCGGACCUUGCGCGAUUGAAUGAGCCGAUGUCGGAUUAGCUAGUUGGCGGGGUAAAGGCCCACCAAGGCGACGAUCCGUAGCUGGUCUGAGAGGAUGAUCAGCCACACUGGAACUGAGACACGGUCCAGACUCCUACGGGAGGCAGCAGUGGGGAAUAUUGGACAAUGGGCGCAAGCCUGAUCCAGCCAUACCGCGUGGGUGAAGAAGGCCUUCGGGUUGUAAAGCCCUUUUGUUGGGAAAGAAAAGCAGCAGGUUAAUACCCCGCUGUUCCGACGGUACCCAAAGAAUAAGCACCGGCUAACUUCGUG